GACGAACGCUGGCGGCGUGCCUAAUACAUGCAAGUCGAACGCAGUUGCGAACGGGUGAGUAACGCGUAGGUAACUGCCUCAUAGCGGGGGAUAACUAUUGGAAACGAUAGCUAAUACCGCAUACUGUGAGAUGGACCUGCGUUGUAUUAGCUAGUUGGUGAGGUAAAGGCUCACCAAGGCGACGAUACAUAGCCGAGCUGGGAGGGUGAUCGGGCACACUGGGACUGGGGCACGGCCCAGACUUCUACGGGAGGCAGGAGGAGGGGAUCUUCGGCAAUGGACGGAAGUCCGAACGAGCAAAGCCGGGUGAGUGAAGAAGGGUUUCGGAGCGGAAAGCUCUGUUGGUAGAGGAGCGGUAACUAACCAGAAAGGGACGGCUAACUACGUGCCAGCAGCCGCGGUAAUUC
rnacentral:rRNA from 1 species